UGUACCUGUCGAGAAACGUUAAACAACCAAUUGUAAAGGUGUCAUUAUGUUACACUUUCUAAUUCGGAAAUUUUAGGUGUAUCGGAUGAGGGAGUCGAGAUCAGGCCACCAGAUGGAAACAGAUGUGUUAUGGUACGGUCAAUUACGUUAUUGGCGAUUGGCGAACCACGUACACAAGCGCACAAUCGAGUCCGCGCGACAACCGAAUGACAGAUCUAUCAUGUUCCGAAUCUGGAGUGAUCGAAUUGUCAGUAUAAUGCGUAACCAAUACUAAAUACCGAGUACCAAAUUUCAAAUUAUUUUGUGAUUGAUUCCCUGAAAAUAAUUCUAAUAAAUUUAAAUCGAUGUUUCUUUUAGCUUGUGCUAAAACUUAAAGAGUAAUUUGCUACGUGUAGCCAACCUUUACUUUUCAACUUAAUUUAUGACGAAAAUAAAUGAUUGCUCUGUCGAAAUCAAUCACUGACACUUUAUCAAAAUUAAUGUAGCGAUGAAGAAAAUAAUUAAAGAUCGUUUGACUUACUGAUAGUGAACGCGGGUCGCCAAUAUGAAUAUGCGCAUCGGAGAUUGAUCUUUUUCGGAAUUUAAAAAUAAAAAGAUGGCACUUGCGUAUUUGCCUAAUCUCUUUGCGUGUUUGCCUACCUCAUUCAUAGAAAAUCUAUGCCCGAAGCAACCAAUCAGAUGACAGGAGGUUCAAAUUCAAAUGAAAAUGAAACAUCUGUAAUGGAACAUAAUAAAAAAUGUAUCAGCCACGCAACGCGCGAGCAAACAUAAUUUAUUUUAAAAAUUAUACAGUGCACUAGUCAAUAUGUGAUAAAUAAAAUUGGUAUAGUUUUUAUAGA